rnacentral:rRNA from 1 species
GACGUAGGGCGCGAGCGUUGUCCGGAAUUAUUGGGCGUAAAGGGUAGGUAGGUGGUCUCAUUUGUCUGGGGUGAAAGCCUUGAGCUCAACUCAAGAAGUGCCCCAGAAACGGUGAGACUAGAGUCCUGGAGAGGGUCGUGGAAUUCCCGGUGUAGCGGUGAAAUGCGUAGAGAUCGGGAGGAACACCAGCGGCGAAGGCGGCGACCUGGACAGGUACUGACACUCAACUACGAAAGCGUGGGGAGCAAACAGG